AUUGAACGCUGGCGGCAGGCCUAACACAUGCAAGUCGAACGAGUGGCGGACGGGUGAGUAAUGUCUGGGAAACUGCCUGAUGGAGGGGGAUAACCACUGGAAACGGUAGCUAAUACCGCAUACCAUCGGAUGUGCCCAGAUAGGAUGAGCUAGUAGGGGGGGUAACGGCUUACCGAGGCGACGAUCCCUAGCUGGUCUGAGAGGAUGACCAUCCAAACGGGAACUUAGACACGGUCCAGACUCCUACGGGGGGCAGCAGUGGGGAAUAUUGCACAUGGGGCGCAAGCCUGAUGCAGCCAUGCCGCGUGUAUGAAUAAGGCCUUCGGGUUGUAAAGUCCUUUCAGCGGGGAGGCGUUACCCGCAGAAGAAGCACCGGCUAACUCCGUGCCAGCAGCCGCGGUAAUUC
rnacentral:rRNA from 1 species